AUUGCCAGUUACAUUAAAUACAGUAUAUGACAAGAGUUUAUUAAUACCAUACUGUAGUCAACAUCUGUGGAGCUUAUACAAUGGUCCCCAUGCAGAAAAAAGUUGAAAAAAAAGGUGAUAAGAAGGAGAUGAUUGCGGUGGAAGUUAAGAAGGAAAUCAUCGAGAAACACAGGUCUGAAUAAAGAAUUUCAUAUCUCUUUGUUUCAUUAUCAUUACAAGAAGACAUAAGUGAAAGGCUUUCAGUGGGAGUGGUAUAAUGAAGACAGAGAAAUGUGACAGAGGUGAAUAAAAGAGCACCCUGGAGAAAAAGAAGAAUCUAA
rnacentral:lncRNA from 1 species